GAAAAGAACAAAACAAAUGCUAAAGCUGGGUUCUAACCUUCAAGAGCAACUUGUCUGAGUAUGUAGUGGCUUGACGCUUGCUCUAUGAGCUUUUCUAUUGGCCAUUUUCCCCAUUCUUUGAAUCAAGGAGCUGCUAGUGGGGGUGGUGGUGACAGUGGGAUGGCGCUGGCAUUGGUGUAUUGGUUUAAGGCACUACAUUUUUUGGGAAGGACAGAAAUCAUGAAGUUAAAAGGAGGAACAGCGUUCAGCUCCCCAAGUCAACAGCCGGUGCCCAGGCCCCUGUCCUCCUGUGCACCUAUCUGCAGCCCCCACGUCUCCUGUUUGCCAUCGAUGCCAUCCCAUUGGAUUAAAUGAGGCCUUCUUUCUUCACGUCUGCCACCCAGUUCCCAGUAGGAUGCUUCCAACAGUUCAAAGUGUUGUUACAUGAAAGAAGAAAGAGAUUUGAACCUUAUGAGCUCUGAAGGCAGAGCUAGGUUCAAUGGAAAACAGGGAGGCAGAUUUCAAAUAAAUAACAGGAAGAAUUUUCUAUCAAGGAGGGGCAGUGGGAAGACUAUGGACUCUGCAGCGAAACCAACUCAGGUUCAAAUUCUGAUGCUGCUCUUAAUAGAUCUGUGAUCAUGGGAAAAUUACUUUCCCUCUCUGUGCCUUUGUUUCCUCUAGAAAAAUGGAGAGAAUGCCUCCUCAACAGGACUCUUUUUGGAUUAGAGCUCAAGCCACUCACUGGCCCCAUCCCCAUUGUUGGCUCUAUGAACCACAGCAAUUGUGUCCAGCAGCAAAAGCCAUCCAAGGUGGAGUUGAGACAUCCCUGAGGCCCUGGUGAGUAGAUCAUCUACUUUCCUCUAUUCCUAGGCAUCAGCAUCAUGGGUGUUGGGCUAUUCCUGGAUACAGACGCAGAUCAUUCGGUUUCUAUCCAAUAUGACUGGUCAGAAGUGCCAAAGGCAUGGCACAGGUGCAUGGUUCCAAGAAGCCAGCAUCCUUGCUCUGCCUUCCUGUGCCAGCACCGUCUCUAGGGUCCUUUCACACUGCUGCAGCCUGGGAUAUCUUUCUAAAACAAAGUCACACCAUGCCUCUGCUCUGCUUGGAAACAUCUGAUGGCUCCUCACUGCUUUCCAGAAAAGCCCCAACACCUGAGACUGGCAGAACUGGGCCUUUGUGAUUCAUCUGUUUUAUUUGCAUUAUCUCUCACCACAAUCUUAAUGCACUUCUCAAAUGGCCUGACCAUCUCCUGCCUCUGCACCUUUGCUGUUUCCUCUGCCUGGAAAGCAUCUCGUGUCACAUGUCGCCCCCCUGUGAAGCUCUUCUUGAUUCAUCCUGGGAGAUGGCUGCUCCUUCCUUUGUAUUUUACAUGCACUAGACAGAGACUUACGGCAGGAGUCAGUCACCCUGCAUGCACGCUGAUGAUAUGUUUACUUUUCUCUGCCUCUUAAAGAAAGAGAUGAGUCUUUACUUGUUGCAUCCUUAUAGCCUAGCAGACUGCCUGGUACUGUGCAUAUUUAUUGACUGAAGGAAUGAAACCCCAGCAGCUUUGAGCACCCAUGCCCCAGACAAGGAGCAUCACGUCUAGCAGAAGUAGAAAAUACAGUCAGUUGUGUAUUUAUUGUAGUGAAAGUGUAAAUCUGUUCCAAUUAUAUAGACAUAUUGGGGAUAAUUUGAGUGUAAUGUCAAUUUCACAUUUGGAAAACACUUAGUGAAUUCAGAAGCCUGCAUCCAGCUGAAUGGAACCACAUAGGAGAAUACUAACAAUGCUCCUGUGUGUACAUAUGCGCACCUCAAACAUCCACCAGCCGCCUCGGUCCACUGUGUGCACUGGUAAGACACAUCCAUGCAAUAUGGAGUCACAUCUUUUCCUUCCCAUGUCAGAUAACCCUUUCUCCACUGCUUCACAGUAACUCACAACCCGCAGCACUUCUGAUGCC
rnacentral:lncRNA from 1 species